rnacentral:lncRNA from 1 species
AGGGCAUGUCCGCCGAUCCCAAGGAGGCAAUCUGUCAGGCGCCGCCCGGGCGGCAGUAUGCCUGAGGGGGUCCUCCGUGUUCGCGCCUCCCGCCGCCUGCACUGAAAGGUCUGUACCUGAGCCUGGAUACUUGAACAGAGGCAGACACUGCGGCUCAAAACCCCAAGGAAUAUCCUAGCUCUGAGACAAAAAUUGGGAACCUCAGCAUGAGUUUGUCACCUGAAUGAAAUAAAAAAAAUCACGUUGAAGGCUGGUGCAGUAACAUGUGCCUGUAGUCCCAGCUACUCUGGAGGCUGAGUCAGGAGGAUCACUUGAGACCAGAAGUUCAGGAAUUCAAGACUGGCUUGAGCAACAUAGCAAGACUUCAUUUCAAAACAAACAGAAAAAAGCCACCACCUUCAGUAUUUCUUGCCAAAGCAAAGGAGCCAUUUGUUCUUUACGAUGGUCAGGAAAGGAAGCAUCAAGGUCAUCAAAUGAAAAAUUUUCAGCAUUUCAGCCUCUCUGCUCAGGGAAAUAUCUGAAUCUAGAAUAUCACAACAUGAGCCAAAACCGCCCCAUUUCUCAUGCCACAUGUCACUCUUAACACAAGGUUACUCAACCUCGAGCAUGGUUGGCAUUUGGGGCUGAAUAAUUCUUUUUUGUAGGGGGCUGUCCUGGGCAUUGUAGGAUGCUCAUGAGCUACCUCAGUCUCUACCACCCACUAGAUGCCAGUAGCAUUGACCCCUGAUCUCUCUACCCAAGUUGUGACAACUAAAACCAUCUCUGGAUAAUGGAGGAACCUUAAAUGCAUAUUGCUAAGGAAAAGCCAAUCUGAAAGGAUUACAUAUUGUAUGAGUCCAACUAUAUGGUAAUCUGGAAAAGGCAAAACCAUGGAGACAGUGAAAAGGUAGUGGUUACCAGUGGUCCAUGGGAAGGGUUGGAUGAAUAGGUGGAGCACAGAGGAUUUUUAAGGCAGUGAAACUAUUCUGAAUGAUACUGUAAUGGUGGAUACAUGUCAUACCUUUGUCAAAACCAAUAAAAUAUAACAACCAAUAAAACUGCACAAAGAGUGAACCCUAAUGUAAACUAUGGACUUAAUAAUGUAUCAAUAUUGGCUCACCAAUUUUAACAAAUGUACCACACUAAUGCAAGAUGUUACUAAUAGUGGAAACUGGAGGGAAGAGGGCUUGAGGGGACAUACGGGAACUCUCUGUAAUUCCUGUUCAGUUUUUCUGUAACUGUUAAACUGUCCAAAAAAAGUCUGUUUUUAUAAAUGGAGGCAUGGUUUUAUAUGGACUAAAAUACUAUGAUUGCCUUUUUAUUUUACACAUGGUGAAAUUAGAGCAGGACAUAUUUUAAACUCAAAAUUCACAAAAUUAAUUUAUGAAAAUGUUUACCCAGAUCAAGAAUAUUAAAGAAACUUAGAUUAAUAUUGUUACCUUGAAUUUAUUUUACUGAGUAAUCCUCUAAGACUCCUCUACACAUUAUUAAUCUAGAAGGAUUUUUAAAGUCUUUAUGACAAUUAAUUAUUGGUCUACAGUCAAAUUGCGUAUCCCCAUUAACUAGAGUUAUAUUUUUCCAUUUUCUGAUCCAAAAACUUUAGGAACAGGAAAUGUUUAUUUUAGAAAACAAGAACACUUCUUAAGCAUUUGCUGUUAACAGUUAUUUUCACAUGUGCUUGUACUUAUUUUACACUUGUCAGAACAUAGUAUUUACCUUUGAACCAAGGUUUUAUAAUAAGCAAGCACUUUUUUUAUUUAGAAGUCACAUUUUCCAAGUAGAAAAAUCAUUAAAAAUUCAGUCCUCUGAAGGCUAAUUUCUUUAAAUCAUUUAACCUAAUUGUUUAAGGUAUAGAUUGGAAUUUUUCUCAGCACUCUCUUGAAAACAGGUGACAGUGGAACCCUGUUAGGUUCACAAAUCCUAGACUUUGAUUAUAUAGCCCAGGCUCAAAUUUUUCUCGAAUGUUACGAACAUUCAAAGCAUUAGGAGUCUUGGUUUCAUUUCUUAAUUUUUUUUCUUCUGGGUAUAUUUGAGACUCAUCUUGGAUUCAAAUAAAUUAAUAAUAGUCUCAUGAAACCGAUAAAAAUGGGAGCUCCAUUGAACAUGAGAGACAUUGAUUCGUAGUUUCUAACAUCCUCCAAAUGAGGAGCCCAUCCCUAAUUUAGAUGCUUCUUUCAAAGGAGGCUCCUUUCCUUCGUUAUCCAUAAUAUAGUCACACCAGUCCUGAAAAAACAUGGAACAGACUCCAGAUCUUUAUAUUUCAUACUCUAAAGUCGUACAAGCCAAUCUGCAUUUCCUCUAGUGGAAACUGUAUAGCUGGUCAUCUUUCCAGGACCCUUUUAUCAAGAAACAAUGCAGCUUCUACAUUUGUGCUGCUUCUACACCAAAACAGCUGGAAUGUAUAUAGUAUGGUUCUGGAUGCUCUUGUAUACCUCACUCUUCAUUUCUCACCUAACCCAUGUGCUAUGAUUUGAAUGUUUCUCCCCUGCAAAACUCAUGUUGAAAUGUAAUUGCCAUGAUAACAGUAUUAAUAGGUGGAAUAUUUAAGAGGUGAUUAGGGUGGGAUUGGUGAUGUUAUAAAAGGGUAAGUUCAGCCCCUUCUUGCUCUCUCUGUCACCCUUCCACCUUCCUCUGUGUGAUGAUGCAACAAAAAAGCCCUUCCCAGAUGCCAGCAUCUUGAUUUUGGACUUCUCAGCCUACAGAACUAUAAGCCAAUAAAUUUCUGUUAUUUGUUAUUAGUCUGUGAUAUUCUGUUACAGUAGCACAAAAUGGACUAUGACACCAUGUGUUUACACAGAAAGAAAAAAAUAUCAUACGGUAAUUGCUCCUAAAUAUGCAGAGAAUAUGUUCUGAUAUCCUUAGUGGAUGCCUGAAACUGCAGAUAGUACCAAACCUUAUAUAUACUAUGUUUUUUUUCCCAUACAUAUGCAUGUUAAAGUUUAUAAGUUAGGCAGAGUAAGAUAUGAACAAUAACUAAUAAUGAAAUAGAAACGUAACGAUGUGCUGUAAUAAAAGUUAUGUGACUGACGCCUCUUUUUCUUCCUCUUUCUUUCAAAAUAUCUUAAUAUUUUCAAGCCAUGGAUAACUGAAACUGCAGAAAGUGAAACUGUAGAUAAACUAUUAACUCUAUUUAAACAAUAAAAGAAUUAUAAUUAUAUUCUUGGGAAAAUUAACAAUUAUCCAAAGUCCCUUUGCAAAGGGAAAAAAAAUGCAUGUAUUGGAAAAAAUCUCAACCACAGGGUUCCCUAAGCUUUGCAAACAACAAAUAGCAUCCACCUAUCCAUCCUCAGAGAGCAACAGUUUUACUGUUAUUUAGAAAAAGCAACUAUUUCAGGCUGCAGGUUGUGCACAUCAGCACUUCCCAGCUCUCUACUAAUAUGGGAAAACUGACUAUCCCUGACUUCAGUUUUUGUGAAGCUAAAUGCCUGACUAGAGUUUAAACUGAGGCUAAUUGGAGAUCAUAAAAUUUUACAGCUUGCUAGAGGUGGACCACAAUUUUGAUUGGAAACUUUCCACCAACCAAUUCUAAAAGGUGUUAAUGGUGACUAUUUUCUAAAACAAAUCUGAAGAGUAACUAAUAUGAUAAGACCAGAAAUAUAUUUCUCUGGCAAGUCCCUAUAAAAAGAAAGCUAGGUAAUUAAAUAAUCUCUCAACAAUAUUGUUUUAGGAAACCCAAUAGAGAGUUUCACAGGCCUGUUUCUUAUGGGAUUGCUCAAUGUAGGUAAAUAUUAUCAAACCAAAAAGUAAUUUUGUAACAGAAAUUCUACAGAGCCCCAAUACCUUACAGAAUGAUGAGUACAACAGUAGAAACAAAUAGAAGAUAACCUAGAAAAAUAAAGCGAAUAACUUAAUGGCGUGAGUUAGGUUAAGAAAAGCUUCCUGGAAAAAGACAUCUGAAUAGAAUUUUAGUAGAUAUAGCUAGGAAUUCCCAAGCAGGUAGAAGAAGGGGGACAUUCCAGGCAAAGGAAUCAUGUGAAUGCAAAGGUAGGGAGUCAUGAAUCAAUAUGUUCGGUUUUUUUGUUGUUUUUGUUUUAUAAAGAGCUAUAAUAGGCUGGGCACAGUGGCUGUAAUCCCAGCACUUUGGGAGGCUGAAGCAGGUGGAUCACUUGAGCCCAGGAGUUCGAGACCAGCCUGGGCAACAUGGCAAAACACUGUCUCUACAAAAACAAAAAAAAUUAUCCCUGUUCAGUGGUGUGCGCCUGUGGUCCCGGCUACCUGGGAGGCUGAGGCGAGAGGAG